GCUAGGAGUGUCAUCCAACAACCGGUGUCCGCACUGAGGAAAGUCCGCCCACCAUUUAUAGGCCACUUCGUAAGAAGAUUCAGAAAUGGAUGGCAACCGUCCAGAAACAACACGUCCUUUAUGUGUUAAGCAAUGAGAUUGCAGAGUUUAAACACUCUAGGUAUGUAAUGAUACCUGACGUCUUUUGCGAAAGAGACAAGUUAACCAGUCGAGCGUACAUAAGGGGAACGGUGAAACAACGAGCCCUGGUUGGUGCAAGCUCUUUGAGCGCUAAGUAGAAUGUUGGAAAGAUUUCCUCUUUUGAAUAAAAAGAAAAUCUACAUAAGGCGGCUUAUGCACUCCUAGC
rnacentral:RNase_P_RNA from 1 species